GGAUGCGAUUAUACCAACACUAACGCACCGGAUCUCAUCAGAAUUCCGAGGUUAAGUGUGCUUGGGCGAGAGUAGUACUACGAUGGGUGACCCCUGGGAAGUCCCCGUGUUGCAUUUU